rnacentral:rRNA from 1 species
GGGUAACAGGAAGAAGCUUGCUUCUUUGCUGACGACCGGCGCACGGGUGCGUAACGCGUAUACAAUCUGCCUUGUACUGGGGGAUAGCCUUUAGAAAUGAAGAUUAACACCCCAUAGUAUAUGACUGUGGCAUCGCAGACAUAUUAAAGGUUACGGUACAAGAUGAGUAUGCGUCCUAUUAGCUAGAUGGUGUGGUAACGGCACACCAUGGCGACGAUAGGUAGGGGCCCUGAGAGGGGGAUCCCCCACACUGGUACUGAGACACGGACCAGACUCCUACGGGAGGCAGCAGUGAGGAAUAUUGGACAAUGGAGGCAACUCUGAUCCAGCCAUGCCGCGUGCAGGAAGACUGCCCUAUGGGUUGUAAACUGCUUUUAUACGGGAGGAAACACCCCCACGUGUGGGGGCUUGACGGUACCGUAAGAAUAAGCACCGGCUAACUCCGUGCCAGCAGCCGCGGUAAUACGGAGGGUGCAAGCGUUAUCCGGAAUCAUUGGGUUUAAAGGGUCCGUAGGCGGACAAUUAAGUCAGAGGUGAAAGUCUGCAGCUCAACUGUAGAAUUGCCUUUGAUACUGGUUGUCUUGAAUUAUUGUGAAGUGGUUAGAAUAAGUAGUGUAGCGGUGAAAUGCAUAGAUAUUACUUAGAAUACCAAUUGCGAAGGCAGAUCACUAACAAUAUAUUGACGCUGAGGGACGAAAGCGUGGGGAGCG